rnacentral:rRNA from 1 species
CAGGGAAUAUUGGUUAAUGUGCGAAAGCGCGAACCAGCAACGCCGCGUGUGCGAUGAAGGCCUUCGGGUCGUAAAGCACUUUUUGCAGGGACGAGGAAGGACGGUACCUGCAGAAUAAGUCUCGGCUAACUACGUGCCAGCAGCCGCGGUAAAACGUAGGAGACGAGCGUUAUCCGGAUUUACUGGGCGUAAAGCGCGUGCAGGCGGCAUGGCAAGUUGGAUGUGAAAGCUCCCGGCUUAACUGGGAGAGGUCGUUCAAUACUGCCAGGCUUGAGAGUGGUAGAGGGAAGCGGAAUUCCGGGUGUAGUGGUGAAAUGCGUUGAUAUCCGGAGGAACACCAGUGGCGAAAGCGGCUUCCUGGCCCAUUUCUGACGCUCAGACGCGAAAGCUAGGGUAGCAAACGG